rnacentral:rRNA from 1 species
UACGAAGGUGGCAAGCGUUACUCGGAAUUACUAGGCGUAAAGGGCAGGUAGGUGGUUUGGUAAGUCUGUUGUGAAAGCUCCUGUCUUAACUGGGAGAGGUCAAUAGAUACUGCUGAACUUGAGUAUAGGAGAGGGUACUGGGAUUCCCGGUGUAGCGGUGAAAUGCGCAGAGAUCGGGAGGAACACCAAUGGCGAAAGCAGGUACCUGGACUAUUACUGACACUAAGCUGCGAAAGCUAGGGGAGCAAACAGG